GACGAACGCUGGCGGCGUGCUUAACACAUGCGAGUCGAACGGAAAGGCCCUGCUUUUGUGGGGUGCUCGAGUGGCGAACGGGUGAGUAACACGUGAGUAACCUGCCCUUGACUUUGGGAUAACUUCAGGAAACUGGGGCUAAUACCGGAUAGGAGCUCCUGCUGCAUGGUGGGGGUUGGAAAGUUUCGGCGGUUGGGGAUGGACUCGCGGCUUAUCAGCUUGUUGGUGGGGUAGUGGCUUACCAAGGCUUUGACGGGUAGCCGGCCUGAGAGGGUGACCGGCCACAUUGGGACUGAGGUACGGCCCAGACUCCUACGGGGGGCAGCAGUGGGGAAUAUUGCACAAUGGGCGGAAGCCUGAUGCAGCAACGCCGCGUGCGGGAUGACGGCCUUCGGGUUGUAAACCGCUUUCGCCUGUGACGAAGCGUGAGUGACGGUAAUGGGUAAAGAAGCACCGGCUAACUACGUG
rnacentral:rRNA from 1 species